AAGUAGAUACAGGCAGGGGCAGGAACAGGAGCAGAGCAGAAGCCCAAAGAGAAAGUUUAGGGGAAAUAAAACCACAAAAAUGGAUUUAAAGGAAAGGCCCAUCAUUCACACUUAGAAGAAUUCCUGGACUAACAAUUCCAACCCAAGGCAGCUGCGGCAACAGCUGAGACAGAAUCAAAACCUGGGGAAAGACCUUAGGUCUUCAAAACAAAACAACCAGCAGGCGGGCCUGCGGCAUUCCAAGAGCAGACACUGGCAGGAACAAAGGUUACAGAAGCGAGUGACUCUAAGAAUCAAGCAAGACAUGGAAUGGCAGAAAAUUAAAUUUUGAGUCCCUAAAAGACAUGAUGCAAAGAUGACCUCCUCUCCCAAGGACAUGUCCUCAUCCCGCGUUGACUGUGUGUGGCCAUUUCAGGAAAAGCAAAUAAUGGAGAAUCUGCUUGGAUGAUACUUAGACCCGGGACAACUGAAAGGAGUUGCACUUAUACAACUCGAUGCAGCGGAGUCCCCUGGGAGGAGCCCCAGUCACACGGGGAGAGACAGUCACAGCUGUAAUAAAUAAUGACUAACAUGUAUCAAGCACUGGCUGAGUCCUCAGCAUACAUUACAUUACAGAAUUCAAUGUGCACCUCAAUGUUCUGGGGGUGUAUUUUAUAGGAGAACUGUGGCACAAAGAGGGACUUUGGAAUCCCAAGAAUAGUCAGUGUUUGAAUUUUGAAUUUAUGU